GACGAACGCUGGCGGCGUGCUUAACACAUGCAAGUCGAACGAGUGGCGAACGGGUGAGUAAUACGUGAGUAACCUGCCCUCUUUUUGGGAUAAGCCUUGGAAACGGGGUCUAAUACCGGAUAAAGGGGGAUGGGCUCGCGGCCUAUCAGCUUGUUGGUGGGGUGAUGGCCUACCAAGGCGGUGACGGGUAGCGGGUCGGAGAGGACGAUCCGCCAGACUGGGACUGAGAAACGGCCCAGACUCCGACGGGAGGCAGCAGUGGGGAAUUUUGGACAAUGGGGGCAACCCUGAUCCAGCCAUGCCGCGUGUAUGAAGAAGGCCUUCGGGUUGUAAAGUACUUUUGUUAGGGAAGCGGUACCUAAAGAAUAAGCACCGGCUAACUACGUGCCAGCAGCCGCGGUAAUUC
rnacentral:rRNA from 1 species